UUCUGAUUGAGAAGAAUGAAAGCAAUCAAACAUAAAACUUGCAUCUGAGCCAUCCACCAACCUAGAAAAAGUAGAAAGCAACUGGUUGCAGAAUUCUUUGUGCAAUUUUAGGAAACACUUCACUUCAUCAGGAGGAAACAAGCUUGGUUCCAAAGGGAAUUUGUCAAGGAUUUCCUUGUUUAACGACAUUGAAUAAUGUUUCCAAUAGCAGGUUGAAAAAAAGAAGAUGACAUUUUUUUAGUUAAGGCAAUUUCUUACAUCCAUCAUUGGUGAAAUUCAAGUAUGUAGCAUUCCAGCCCGAUUCCAUCAAGAAGAUUCUAUAGGGACUUGACUACAUCCAUUCAAACUUACCGGAGUGGGAGAAGCCAAGUCAAGCUUACUCAGGAUUUUUCUGCAUGCCAACAAGCCAACUCGGAUAAAGGAUCCAUACACCUCACAAACCCGUCCCAG
rnacentral:lncRNA from 1 species